CAUGCCCGCGUGAGGGACUAAGGCCCUAUGGGUUGUAAACCUCUUUUGUAAGGGAGCAAUAAGCCCCACGUGUGGGGCGAUGAGAGUACCUUACGAACUAAGCAUCGGCUAACUCCGUGCCAGCAGCCGCGGUAAUACGGGGGAUGCGAGCGUUAUCCGGAUUCAUUGGGUUUAAAGGGUGCGUAGGCGGUACUGUUAAGUCAGCGGUGAAAUGCCAGCGCUCAACG
rnacentral:rRNA from 1 species